AUCCUGACUCUGCCAUCAGCAUGAUGCAACAUGUUUUUAGCUGAUAGGAUUGGGACCCUGUGUGGUCAUCUGCUGCAAUUGAGUACCACAGUAUGAGUCAUAAUACCCAUAAAGCCUAGCGGUAAAACCCAGAAGUGGUUCCAAUCAUUUUUUCGUUGGUGAUUUUAGAACUACUUCAUAUAAGGUCAGUGUUUCGUGUUUACCCUGGCAUGACGUUUUGAUAUCCAUGCAAAUCUCUUUCGGACCAGGUAACGUUUAUCAAUAUAUUUGCCUGUAAUUACCCCACAAAUUGAAAUGCUAAUUAGCCUCCAAUGUGGCUAGCAUACAGAACUACACAUCUUGACGCAAGCUUUGACAUCAUCUCUCAAUGCAAACUCUUCGACAAGUAGCAAGUAUCCUAGUAAGUAGAUAUUAUAGCCUUUUUAGUUUCUUGUGUAAAUAAUUAAUAGUGUUUCUCGUGUGCUGUUUGGGGUUUUAGGCUGGGUUUCUGUACAGCACUUUGAGAUAUCAGCUGAUGUACGAAGGGCUAUAUAAAUAAAUUUGAUUUGAUUUGAUUUGAUUUGAUUUGUAUUCUUGUUUAGCAUUUUCAAAUGACCUUUUAAUUACUCUCUGGCCUUUGUAGCGAACUAGCUAACCUUAGGGUCUCUCUGUCGAUCGGAAGCAAGGAUGGUUCUGUGCUAUGUACCGGAUUGUAACCACUACUCCGAUAAGCACACGUGCAUUUUAUCGUUUUCCAAGCUCUGUAAGCGAGAGGUGUCGCUGGAGCCAUGUGAUAAGGUACUGACAGGAGGAUCAUUACGAGUCUGUCAGAGGUCGUCACGCUGGAUGGGGAUAGUGAUGGCUUGGUGGUCCACACAACGAAAGAAGCAGGUGUCCCUUCCAGUGAUGUGGAGUUGACCCUGGACCUGUUGCAAGUAAGGAUGGUCUUCACGGAGGAUGUAAGACCCUCCCUACUUGACUUCACUGCCUCGUCAAUGGUAAGGUCCCUUGCACCUUGCACCAUGCACUUGACCUCCACUACUGCUGUGAUGCCCACCAGACCAUCCACUGAGGCACCCAGGAUCCCAGACCCUGUGACCUAAAGACCUGACUCCUGCAUAUCCAUCCCUGUAGCCAUUUUGAAUUCCUUGAUGUCCUCCUCUUCGUUAUCUGAGCCCCACUUUACAGACAACACCCCAUCCAAUGACUAUGAACACCUUGAAAUGCACUAGAUGUAAGAAAUGUGCCAUAUAAAUAAAGUUUGAUUUGAUUGAUGACAUUACAGCUCUAGAAAUUUUAAUAAACUGUAAUUUUGUGCAUUUUUUCCAUAAACUUUUAAUUGAUAACUUGGGAUUUUAUCACUUGACAUAUCAAUCAUAUAGUGGGAUCCUAUAAAUCAAGACGGUGUGAAUGCAUGUACCCCUCGAAUUAAUACAGUUGAAGUCAGAAGUUUACAUACACCUUAGCCAAAUGCAUUUAAACUCAGUUUUUCACAAUUUCUGACAUUUAAUCCCAGUAAAAAUGCCCUGUCUUAUGUCAGUUAGGAUCACCGCUUUAUUUUAAGAAUGUGAAAUGUCAGAAUAAUAGUAGAGAGAAUGAUUUAUUUCAGCUUUUAUUACUUUCAUCACAUUCCCAGUGGGUCAGACGUUUACAUACACAUUAGUAUUUGGUAGCAUUGCCUUUAAAUUGUUUAACUUGGGUCAAACGUUUCGGGUAGCCUUCCACAACCUUCCCACAAUACGUUGGGUGAAUUUUGGCCCAUUCCUCCUGACAGAGCUGGUGUAACUGAGUCAGGUUUGUAGGCCUCCUUGCUCGCACACGCUUUUUCAGUUCUGCCCACAGAUUUUCUAUAGGCUUGAGAUCAGGGCUUUGUGAUGGCCACUCCAAUACCUUGACUCUGUUGUCCUUAAGCCAUUUUGACACAACUUUGGAAGUAUGCUUGGUGUCAUUGUCCAUUUGGAAGACCCAUUUGCGACCAAGCUUUAACUUCCUGACUGAUGUAAUGAGAUGAUGCUUCAAUAUAUCCACAUGAUUUUCCUACCUCAUGAUGCCAUCUAUUUUGUGAAAUGCACCAGUCCCUCCUGCAGCAAAGCACCCCCACAACAUGAUGCUGCCACCCCCGUGCAUCACGGUUGGGAUGGUGUUCUUCGGCUUGCAAGCCUCUCCCUUUUUCCUGCAAACAUAAUGAUGGUCAUUAUGGCCAAACAGUUCUAUUUUUGAUUCAUCAGACCAGAGGACAUUUCUCAAAAAAGUACGAUCUUUGUCCCCAUGUGCAGUUGCCAACCGUAGUCUGGCUUUUUUAUGGCGGUUUUGGAGGAGUGGCUUCUUCCUUGCUGAGCAGCCUUUCAGGUUAUGUCAAUAUAGGACUUUUUUUAAAUUUUAUUUUGGAUAUAGAUACUUUUGUACUUGUUUCCUCCAGCAUCUUCACAAGAUCCUUUGCUGUUGUUCUGGGAUUGAUUUGCGCUUUUCGGACCAAAGUACGUUCAUCUCUAGGAGACAGAACAUGUCUCCUUCCUGAGCGGCAAUGACAGCUGCGUGGUCCCAUGGUGUUAAUACUUGCGUGCUGUUGGUUGUGCAGAUGAACGUGGUACCUUCAAGCGUUUGGAAAUUUCUCCAAAGGAUGAACCAGACUUGUGGAGGCCUACAAUUUUUUUUUUAGGUCUUGGCUGAUUUCUUUUGAUUUUCCCAUGAUGUCAAGCAAAGAGGCACUGAGUUUUAAGGUAGGCCUUGUAAUACAUCCACAGGUACACCUCCAAUUGACUCAAAUGAUGUCAAUUAGCCUAUCAGAAGCUCCUAAAGCCAUGACAUCCUUUUUCUUGAAUUUUCCAAGCUGUUUAAAGGCACAGUCAACUUAAUAUAUGUAAACUUCUGACCUACUGGAAUUGUGAUACAGUGAAUUUUAAGUGAUAUAAUCUGUAUGUCAACAACUGUUGGAAAAGGACUUGUGUCAUGCACAAAGUAGAUGUCCUAACCGACUUGCCAAAACUAUAGUUUGUUAACAAGACAUUUGUGGAGUGGUUGAAAAAUUAGUUUUAAUGACUUCAACCUAAGUGUACAUAAAC
rnacentral:lncRNA from 13 species